rnacentral:piRNA from 1 species
UACCCAGGCCACUGGAGUGAGUCUAGA